rnacentral:misc_RNA from 2 species
AACGCACAUUGCGCCCCCUGGUAUUCCGGGGGGCAUGCCUGUUCGAGCGUCAUUACACCCCUCAAGCAUAGCUUGGUAUUGGGCUCUCGCCCCCGCGGCGUGCCCGAAAAGCAGUGGCGGUCCGGUGUGACUUUAAGCGUAGUAAAUUUCUCCCGCUUUGAAAGUUCGCCCCGUGGCCUGCCAGACAACCCCAUAUUCUUCAAUAAUUGACCUCGGAUCAGGUAGGGAUACCCGCUGAACUUAA